GCAAGAUGGCGGCGGCGGCGGUUCAGGGACGGCGUUUCAAGUGGUCGUUGGAGCUGGCGGCGGCGCCGGGGGGGCGACCCCGUGGAGCCGCCGAGGGCCGUGGGCCGCUGGGGUUCACCGAGCGGCAGCUGGGGGAGGGUGGUGUCCACAAAAGUGACAAAAUCCUCAUGGAGAAGCGCUGCUGGGACGUGGCACUGGCGCCGCUGAAGCAGAUCCCCAUGAACCUGUUCAUCAUGUACAUGGCCGGCAAUACCAUCUCCAUCUUCCCUGCCAUGAUGGUCUGCAUGAUGGGCUGGCGCCCACUGCAAGCCCUCAUGUCUCUCUCUGCCACACUGAAGGCAUUGGAGAGCUCGAGCCAGCGGGCACUUCAGGGGCUGGUGUUCCUGGUGGGCAAUGGACUGGGGCUGGCACUGGCCCUCUACAAGUGCCAGGCCAUGGGGCUGCUGCCUACCCAUCCCUCUGACUGCCUGGCCUUUGUUGACCCCCCACAGUGGAUGGAGUUCACUGGUGGGGGCCUGAUCCUGUGACCCAAUGCACCCACCCACCAAUAAAGAUGAUGGCAGGCUGGUGA